GGGGAAUCUUCCGCAAUGGACGAAAGUCUGACGGAGCAACGCCGCGUGAGUGAUGACGGCCUUCGGGUUGUAAAGCUCUGUUAAUCGGGACGAAAGGCCUUCUUGCGAAUAGUUAGAAGGAUUGACGGUACCGGAAUAGAAAGCCACGGCUAACUACGUGCCAGCAGCCGCGGUAAUACGUAGGUGGCAAGCGUUGUCCGGAAUUAUUGGGCGUAAAGCGCGCGCAGGCGGAUUGGUCAGUCUGUCUUAAAAGUUCGGGGCUUAACCCCGUGAUGGGAUGGAAACUGCCAAUCUAGAGUAUCGGAGAGGAAAGUGGAAUUCCUAGUGUAGCGGUGAAAUGCGUAGAUAUUAGGAAGAACACCAGUGGCGAAGGCGACUUUCUGGACGAAAACUGACGCUGAGGCGCGAAAGCCAGGGGAGCGAACGGGAUUAGAUACCCCGGUAGUCCUGGCCGUAAACGAUGGGUGCUAGGUGUAGGAGGUAUCGACCCCUUCUGCGCCGGAGUUAACGCAAUAAGUACCCCGCCUGGGGAGUACGACCGCAAGGUUG
rnacentral:rRNA from 1 species